GAUGAAGAAACGUAGCGAAAUGCGAUACUUGGUGUGAAUUGCAGAAUCCCGUGAACCAUCGAGUCUUUGAACGCAAGUUGCGCCCGAAGCCAUUAGGCCGAGGGCACGCCUGCCUGGGCGUCACACGUCGUUGCCCCCCCAUCUACUCCUUCGGGAUUGCGGGGGGCGGAUGAUGGCCUCCCGUGCGCCUCGCCGCGCGGUUGGCAUAAAUGCCAAGUCCUCGGCGACGCACGCCACGACAAUCGGUGGUUGCGAAACCUCGGUUGCCCGUCGUGUGCGGUCGUCGCGCAUCGAGGGCUCGAAAAAAUUGCCGGGUUCCGGCUCGGCUUUCAACGCGACCCCAGGUCAGGCGGGGUUACCCGCUGAAUUUAAGCAUAUCAAUAAGCGGAGGA
rnacentral:misc_RNA from 1 species